AUGCUCAUUUCAGCAGCACACAUACUAAAAUUGGAAUGAUACAGAGAGUAUUAGCAUGGCUCCUGUGCAAGGAUGGCAUGCGAAUUUGUGAAGUGUUCCAUAUUUUU